rnacentral:tmRNA from 1 species
GGGGGUGCACCGAAUUCGAUUGCAGGUGAGCGAAAGGAUAAGCAUACCGCAGACGGAAUGACUGCGAUAAAACGUUCCAACUAAAUUUAAAUGCAGAUAGAAAUGCAAACUACGCUUUAGCGGCGUAACUCGUUUUUUAAAACGAUCGUCGUGCCCGAUCUAUCCGUCGGUCGGGAUCGCGGCGUCAAUCAGACGGAAAAAUCUUUUUAAAAUCGGAAAGCGUUUUUCAAAGAUUAUUUAGCUUUCUGCGCCGUAUAAAGCGUGUUUACCCGCGUUAUACGGUUAAGAAAAAAAGAUAAACUAAGUAUGUAGAAAGUUUUUUGGCAGCCUUGUAAGACGUGAGUUUAACUCUCACCACCACCACCA